UUGUUUCCAACAUCGUCUCACUUACUAUUGAAAAGUAUUAGCUAAUCCCUGAAUAAGCUUAUCUUAUCAUAUCGUACAUAUAUUCUUGUCUUUGAUAAGAGAAUCAGAAUGGUUCCACCUUGGGACUUCACAUGAUAACAUUGUUAAUAUCCAUGUUUCCUUUCAAUCUUUGUCCGUGUUCUCCUCUGUCGUUUGCCAUAGAGCGCCACCACAAGCCACCUCUUACCCUCUUAUUCCUUCUUCCUCCAAACUUCUCACUUUUCCUCUAUUGUUGAUAAAGGUAAACCCACAUUUACAAUACUUUUUUAUUUUCAAUCUUAUGCAUAUAAUAUUUGUUUUAUUACUGUAAUGAAAGUUUGUUGAGUUUGAAUUUGUGUUAAUGGAGAAAACUCCAUUGUUAGGGUUUGGUAGUGCUUAUUUGGGGUUAUAGGAUGAUAAAUCUAAAUGUGAGUAUUGGGUCUAUUUUAUUAGAAACAAAUAUGUAAAUUUGAUGCAAUAAUUGAUUUCAGACGUUUGUUUAGUCUUGUUGUAAUGUGAAGUCCGUGACAUUUGUAAAAUUUAAGUGUCAUAAUAUAUUUUUAACGCAAGCAUUCAAAAAUGCAAAGAUCUUAAAGUUUAUGAUUUUUACAUACCCAGAUUCAAUGAGAAAGCCAUAGUACUUUUACAACAAAUUGAUAGAAUAAAGUUGUUACUAUAACCUUUGCCUUUUCACUUGUUAGCUCUUAAAAAUUGGUAGUUACUAUAAUUUAUUUUAGGCAAAUAAAAUGGAAGGUUAUGAACCUAUAAAAUUCUUACAUUCUCCCACUUGGCCUAAAAUUUAAUAAAACCAAUACAUAAACAUUAUACAUAAAAUUCUUGUAUCAAAUCUCAAGCAUGUGAAUACAAAAUUAACUUAAUAUAAUAAAACACUAAGUGUGACUUAUAGCUGUCAUGUAUUAUUAUUUUUCAAAACACACUUCCUUUGAUAUAAGCUCAAACACUAGUGCUCUACUAUACAAGUACUUAAGCACCACAUAAAAUAUCAUUAUGAUCUCGUAAAUGUUUCUAAGAUAUUCUAGUUAUAAAUCAUAAUUAAACGUGCACAAUAACUGGAAACAAAUUAUAAAGAUUCAUAAUUGUAUAAUCAUUAUAUGUACAUUUUCCUUAAAUGUAUUUGGUUGUAAAUUUUCAAUGACUUAGCAAUAGUGUCAACUAUUGGAACCAAGUUGGUUUUCCACGUAUAGUUUUGAUGUCAACAAAAGUAUUUUACGAGAACAAUAAAUUUGGAUUAAUGAUUUUAUUAAGUAUGCAAAAAUUGGAAGAAGAAAAUUAGAGGAAGAUACCAGAGGAAAGUCACUAGAGGAAGUGACUAAAUGAUGAGAUCAGAUGAAUGCCUUUGAAGCUUUUGCAUGUCUCUGAUGUUCACAAAUUCAGCAUUCCUCUAAAGAGUUCAUAUCAAGGUAUAAUUAAUUCGGAAGAGAUUGUUCAAAUAACAAAUUCAAAGCUCACAAUCCGCUGAUCAAAAUGGUGCAAAAGACUCCAAAUGUUGCCUCUGAUAUGCAGCUUCUAAUGUUGUACUGACUCUGAAGUUUCAACUAGAAGAUUUGCCCAAUGCCACUAAUUAUAAGUCAUGCAAUUAUGCCUUUGACUAUCAUUAUUCAAGAAACACAACACACAAGAAAGUCAACGCCUCUGAUGGAAAGUCAAUGACUAAAAUUGAAAGAAUUAAGUAUGAAAAGAAUACUUAGUCGAGUCAAAAACUUUUGAAGACCCAAGAACAAUCUGAAUCCAUUCAACUCAAAUCAAGCAAGAGUAUGAAAGAUGAUUCAUGUUUUUAAAGACAUUAUAAAAUAAGAUUUCAUUAAGAUUUAUAACUGAAGAAAAUCUUUUACCAAGUUGAAAAGAAGGUAUGAUCAAGAGUUGAAGAAGAUAUGAUCAAGAUCAUAUCAACAAGAAAAUAUGAAUUAUUUACAAGAAGAUUUGAUCAAGAUUUAUCUACAAGAAGAUUUUAUCAAGAUUUAUCACAAGAAGAUAUGAAUUGCUUACAAAAAGAUUUGAUCAAUAUUUAUCACAAGAAGAUAUGAAUUAUUUACAAGAAGAUUUGAUCAAGAUUUAUCUAUAAGAAGAUAUGAUCAAGAAUUGUUUACAAGAAGAAACACUCACAAGAAGAUACAUUUAUUUUUGCAAAGAUAUUAUUCAGAUUUUCCAAGGACAAAGGAGAAACCCUAACUUAUUCUAUAAAUAAAUACUCAAGGCUGAAGAAGAAAAUAAGAGUAUUCACAAGCACAAAGUUUCCUAAUAGUUCAUAAGGUUAAGGUCUAGAGAAACACUUGCUCAAUGGAACUAUUUUCUAAGUGUUUUCUAAUGUGAGAGUCAUUGCUACAAUCAACUUGUUAUAAGCAAACCAACUUGUUCAAAACUCUUGUAACCCAGCUCGAUAGUGGCUUUCGUGUUCCUCGAGCAAUUUGUAGGUUUUUAGGUUGUGUUGAGAAGACUUGGCUUGAAGAGUAGGUGUUUGUGUUCCUAAAAAAUUCUUUAGGUGUUAGAUUGUUUUGAUAAGGCUGCUUGUAGGGUCAUAUGUUGUGUAAUUCAUGUUUUGAAUUAGUGGAUUAAAUCUUUCUAUGUGAGAGGAUUGGACGUAGCGACCAAGUUGGUGGUGAACCAAGAUAAAUUCUUAUGUCACUUUAAUUAUGUAAUUCUUGUUUUAUUUUUGUAUCUGAUCACUUAAACCGAUUGCUACUACUUUUAUUCUAAGUAAGUCACUGAACCCGAACUAGUUUUAAAUAAAUUAAAAAAAGAAUCCAACUUAGUCAAACACAAUUCAACUCCACUUCUCAUGUUUGCACCUUCAUCAACUACUCUAAGCCGUGAAACAAAAUUUUGAAGCCAUAGUGCUUGUUGAAGUAGCAAUAAAAAUUUACAAGGAAAGGGUGUUUGAAUUGUAAAUUCACCCUUUUACAAUUUUUUGUUAAAACUGUAAAAUUUUAACUCAAGAUUGAUCUUGGUUGUGAAAACAGAAAACAAAGAACGUUCUUGGUUAUGAAACCAGAAAAAGAAGAACGUUCUUGGUUAGUAAUAUAACCAAUGUCAAGUGAGUGAUAAAUAAAUGGAGAUAAGGGAAAAAGAAUUCACACAUCAAUAUAUCAUGGUUCACCAAACUCAGGCUAGUCUAGUCCUUACAACCGUGAGAUUUUCACUAUGUGCUUCAGAACCAAGAAUGUUCUCCUUCACACCUUUUCUUUUGUUCACACCUGGAUCAAUUACAAUCUUCACCUUUCAAACUAGAAAGGAUUUUUACAAUCACCUUUCAGCCUUGAAAGAAUUUUUACAAACACACUCAAUCUAACAUAAAAGAUAGACUUGAGUUACAAAUGAUGUGUAUGAUAAAAGUGGUUGGGAUCUUGAAACUUCUCAACACUUGUUUGAGAUAAAUGAAAGAUAAGCUCAGUAAAUAAUGAUUCACAAAUAUAGUGAAGAGAGCUGGAGUUUGCUUGAAGAGUUUUUCACUUGUUCUUACUUGUACAAGUAUUGGUAGAUUUGUAAAUUGAACUUUUGCCUUCAUCUUCCAAUUGAUCUUCAAUUUAUAGAUAUUAAAAGGCUUUGAAUAUUCAUUUUAAAAUGAAUAUAGUCGUUGGGCACACUUCCCAAGUGUUAGAUAUAUUUUGACUUGUUCUUACUUGUACAAGUAUUGGUAGAUUUGUAAAUUGAACUUUUGCCUUCAUCUUCCAAUUGAUCUUCAAUUUAUAGAUAUUAAAAGGCUUUGAAUAUUCAUUUUAAAAUGAAUAUAGUCGUUGGGCACACUUCCCAAGUGUUAGAUAUAUUUUAAAGCAAUUAAACAUGUGUUUGUUUGGUGUCCAGAACGUCAUUGACAAUCGAAGAACGUUCUUGCUUUGGGUUUGAUAGAAAACGUGAGUGAGUGAGUGAUGAGCUGUCAAC
rnacentral:lncRNA from 1 species